ensembl:lncRNA
GCUUCCGCCGCCCGGACUUGCCCCCCUCCAGGUGACCGAGAGCUGCGCUCCCGACCGCGCCUGAGCUGAUGGCUGGACCCCCUCGCCCCAUUUUACGGACGGAAAUACCGAGAGCAAGUGAGAUGCGCGGGAUCACGCGAGACUGAAUCCCGCCUUGGGAGCAUUGUUGACGUUACAGGCUGUCGUUAAGACCGGGGCCCCAACUUUGCCUUUGCCACUUCCUAGCUGCGUGACACGGGGCAAAUUACUUAACCUCUCUGAGCCUCAGCUUUUUCACCUGUAAAAUGGAACAAUUGUACCGCCUCCUGGGAUUCAUGUGAGAAUUAAUAUAUAGAAACCAGUUAUUACAGUAGUUGGCGUAUAGUAGAGAUCUAAAUACAUUUUGUUUUUUUAAGUAGUUAAGUCAAAGAAAAUGACCGGUCUCUGCCCUCAACUUCCCUUGGGGAAAACGAUGCCAAAAUAUUGCCUCCUAGCCUUGUGACUUUUCACCAGGCACCUGCAGUACCUGCGUGGUCUACACUGACGUUAAUCCUGGUAGCUUGUCAUUUCACUUCGUGGAUUUGUCUAUACUCCCACCCACCACGUUGACUCUGGGCUCCCCGAGGACUCGGCUUUUGUGGGUCACCACUCACUGAAUCCCUAGUGUUUGCAAAGUGCCUGGCACGUACUCAAGACUGUGUUGAACACGUUUGCGAUUGAACCGUUCAUUCUCUCUCUCUAACUUACUCCAGCCACUUAUUCAAGACUCAGAGCCCACCCCAUGCCAAGUUCUCUUCCUCCACGUGCUCUUGGCUCCCUGCACUUACCGUGCUCUUCCACCCUUCUGCCUCUGAGCCUCUAUAUGCUCUUCCCUCAGUGUGAAUGUUCUUCCCCUCACCUCCUUCCUUGCUUUCUUGACUUCCAGCCCCAGCUCAGUCCUCACAUCCUUUCUGAAGCGUUUUCUGAUUCCUCCAGGCAAAGAUCCACCUUCCUCUGGUUCCCCACAACACUGUCUUUCAUAAUUUUAUCUGAGCUCUUACUGCAGUGGAUUAUAUGUAUUUUUAAACCUGACACCCCCACAAGACCUGGCGCUCCUUACUCCUCUGUGUUUCCCCUGAGCUCUGCACAUGUCUGAUCAGGAGGCGCCCAACAGAUGUUCCUUGGCUGCAGGACUCUUUGUCCCAGCCUUGGUGUCCCCAGCUGAAGCCGGGGGGUCUUGUCUCAGGAGGGAAUGACAUCGUACCUGGGGAAGCAUUUGGAGAAGGAGCAGCCUGCUGUUCCUGCAGCAGCAGUGACUAUAUUUAUCUGGUGCUGUCCUAGCACCGCACAAGGUCUUUGUGCACUUCAGCCUUUAUCAGCUCAGGUUUAAGCUCCUCUCUUAAUCACCUGCAAGGGAAUGGUGUUUACAGGGAUUCCAGCUGAGAAAAACUGGCCCACCUGAAUUCUCUGCCUUUGCAGCAACUCACAACUGACCUUUGGAAACUGUUGCGGGACUGCAUGAGACUGCUAAUAAGUCCCUUGCAGCUCCGUGGUUCUGUGGCAGCCAAAAGGGAAACAGAGUUUGCAGAAGGCUUUACCAGUAGGAAACCCUGGUCAUCGAGACUCGGUGACAUUUCAUAUCAGAAAAGACCCAAAGUCUCCGAAGAGAGUCGUGUGUCUCAUCUUUUAGACGAGGUUGAAGGCCUGAGAUUCCUCUGCUUGGUAAUGUGGAACCGCAUGAGCAUCUCUCCAGAUUUUAUUACAUAAUGAUUCGCAGGUUAUGUAACAGUCAUGACAAUGAUCAGGCACCUCUACUUGCUAAGAGCCAACAACACGAACAAUCUACCUACUUCUUUCUAUUUUUUAGGCGUUUUUCUCAUCACAAAAGUAGCACAUGAAUUCCAAUGAUGCAGACGUGUGUAGAACGAAAAAUGAAAAAGAAAAGCAACCCUAGGACCCAGCAGUUUGAUUUCUUGGAAUCUACUAGAGAAACCAGCGUACAUGCACCAAGAAACCUGUUGCGUCGUUGUUUGUAAUGCAAAAUCAAAACCAGAACCAUGCUAAAUGUCCGUCAGUAGGGGAGUGGUGUGUCCGUGCUGAUGACUAGGGUGUGUCACUGAAAAAGAUGAUGGAAACCUGUGUACCUCUGCAGGACGUGCCCUGAAAUGGAAACCGUAUUGUCUAAGGGUGGAGGCAGCGCUGGGGGAGGUUCGUAGCCCGAAGAGGCAUGCCUGGAAAUGAAGCUGGCACAGUGAGCUUCUUCACUAUCAGUAAGAGGCUUGCUUCCCCCUUUUUCUCUAAAUAUAAACCCAACUGUCAAUUGCUUCACAGUCUUCAUGUCUGCCGCAGGAGCCACCCACAAGUCCAAAGGUAACCGGGCUGGCUGAAGGCUGGUCCUUAGCGUGAUCCGCCCAGCCCAGCCCCGCUCCCUGGAGACACAGGUCAUGGGGUUGGAUGUGCACCACUCAGCUCCUCCUCUGGUGAUUCUGAAUUGCUCCUGAAAACAGUAACUCAGAGGUUGGGAGCUCCCGAUAUGUACUUUACUGAUCUCUUAAAGAAUUGGGUUUCAAAGCCUGUGCACUGAAACCGACCGUCUCUGCCCUUCCCUUGAAGCAGGCCAGGGAAAGCCACAAACAGGUUGUCUUUGUUCCAUAGCAACGUCCUCCCAAGGCAGGAGGGCAAAGUAAACUCUGAAGCCAAAAGGCCUGAGUUCAGAUCCCAGCUCUGCCACUUUCCAGCUGUGUGACUUUGGACAAGCUACCUGACCCCUGCAGACCUCGGUUUCCUUAUCGGUAAGAUGAGAUUAAUAGGAGUAAGUACCCCAAGGAUGCUGAGAGAUUGAAUGAGCUCAGACAGGGCGCCAGCAGACAGUGAGCAGUGGAGACAAGCCAGCUAUGAGUAUUCUUAACUCAGAGUCACGGAGCCUGCCAGGCUGGGGUGCACAGUCGGCCUCAGACGAUGGGGAAGGUGACUGGGCUUGACGCCAUUCUGGUCAAUCCUGGGCACCUUGCGUUUGUGCUGCUCCCAAGAAUAGACUUUUAUAACAUGCAGAAUAUAUAAAGAACUCCUACAACUCAAGAACAACAGGACAACCCAAUUUAAAAAUGGGCAGAGGACUUGAAUAGAUAUUUCUCCAGAGGAGAUAUACAAGCAGCCAAUAAGCACAUGGAAAAGUACUCAACAUCAUCAGCCAUUAGGUAAGUGCAAAUCAAAGUCACAGAUGCAGAAUCACACCUAUUAGUGGCUAUAAUUUAAAAAAAGGGAAAAUAACAAGUGUUCACAAGGAUCUUGAGAAAUCAGAAACCUGUGCCUUGCCGAUUGGAAUGUAAGGUCGUGCAGCUGCUAUGGAGAAAAGUUCGGUGCUGCCUUGAAAAGUGAAACAUAAUUACCAUAUGGCCUAGCAAUUCUAGUCCUAGGCAUCUACCCGAAAGGAUUGAGAACAGAGACUGGAAUAGAAGGCCAUACACCAGCAUUCACAGCAGCAGCAUUCACAACAGCCGAAAGGUGGAAACAACCCAAGCGGCCAUCAACAGAGGAAUGGAUAAACAAGGUGUGGUAUAUCCAUACGAUGGAAUAUUAUUUGCCCAUAAAAAAGGAAUGAAGUUCUGAGACAUGCCUCCACAUGGAUGAACCUUGAAAACAUUAGGCUAAGUGAAAGAAGCCAGUAACAAAAGGGCAAAUGUUAUAUGAUUCCGUGUAUAUAAAAUGCCUGUAAUAGGAAAAUUCAAAGAGAUGGAAAGUAGAUUAGAAGUGACCAGGGCUGGAGAGAGGGGAGAAUGGGGAGUUACUGCUUAGUAGGUGCAGAGUUUCUGUUUGGGGUGAUGAAAAAUUCUGGAAACUGGUGAUGCUUGCCCACAUUGUGAACGUAAUUAAUGCCUCUGACUUAGUAACUUCAAAUGGUCAAAAUGGUAAAUUUUAGGUUAUGUAUAUAUUACCACAAAUUAAAAACUUUUAAAAAAGAAAAAUACAAUAUUCCUG